UGUUAAUAGUAGUUUUGCUCUUUUCUUCGGUAGUGGCAGGGUCUUGACUGCUGUUUUUUUAGAAGAUGAAGAGUCUGUCUUUUGAAUGUAUGUGGAACUUUUUCUUUAGUCAAAGUGACAAACAGAGGGUGUGAUUUGUACUUUGGCCCUAAUUAUGUAUUUAGAUCCCAAUCACUCCCUGUUAUGUGACCUAACCCUGGACUGUGACAUACACUUACGAUACAGAUGUUAUUUGAUGGAUUUGUGUGUGGAGGGUGCUUAAAUAUUCAAGCUUGACUGUAACUUUUAUGUGCUUUUUAAAAUAUUUUUAAUCAUUAUCUGCACUUUGUUUUCCAAGUACUUCUUUUAGUGAUUUAGCAAUGAUUUUUUUUCUGAAAAGACUGCCUGCAGAAAGAUCAAAUGUAACUCUUCAGAAGACUAUGUUCAGCAGAUGUUAAUUGCCUAUUUUUUAAAGAAAAAACCAGACACCAACCAGUUGAAAUACUAAAAGAAAGAAUUUAAGAGUGAUUAUAUGAGUACCAUCUUAACAGCCCAUUUUAAUCAAGAACUCACAAAAGGAGUCUUAAAGGUGAGAAUUCAAGGUAAUUUUCCCAAUGGAGGUUAGGAAAUAAAAACAAAUUUUCUGGAAAACUAUUAAGAUAAGAAUUGUGGAAGUGUGGGAAGCUCACAGGAAAUUUUUGUUGUCAAGCUCUGGAAAAGCUUAUUUCUUCAACAGAAUGAGUGUGUGUGAGAUACGCACGUGGUUAGAGCCGGAAGGGGCAGUUAAGAAGGAAGCAAAAUUACAAUUAAAAUAUGAUGUGCUACUGCAACUUACCUGAUAAACACCACUUGGCAAAUCAAAACAGUUGGUGCAUGCUGAGACUUGAAUUUCUUUUUUUUUCAGAGAAAGUACAAUUAAAUAUUACAUGAAGACCUAUCAAAUGUAUUUCAUAAGAACAGUGUGCAGGUACUGUGGGUUUUGCUUUAUUGUAAGCAUUUUAAAGGGCUGACUUUGAAGCAGCGAAUGGACACGUGUGUUCUUGUUCUGUGGUGUUUGAGCCUUUCAGUGUCUUCGAUUUAUGUUCUCUC